GAUGAACGCUGGCGGCGCGCCUAACACAUGCAAGUCGAACGUGAAAGUGUAGCAAUACAUGAGUAAAGUGGCGCACGGGUGAGAAACGCGUAGGUGACCUACCUUUGUGACCGGAAUAACCAGUCGAAAGAUUGGCUAAUACUGGAUAGAGCGCAUUUAUCGUAGAGAUGAGUGCGGGAAAGGGCGGCUGUUGCACCGAGUAUUUAUGCUAGAGCAUAAAUGCUGAGUGCAGCAGCUGUUGCACUGAGAAGGGCCUGCGUCUCAUUAGCUAGUUGGUGAGGUAAUGGCUCACCAAGGCAAUGAUGGGUAGCUGGUCUGAGAGGACGAUCAGCCACACUGGAACUGAAACACGGUCCAGACUCCUACGGGAGGCAGCAGUGGGGAAUCUUGCGCAAUGGACGAAAGUCUGACGCAGCGACGCCGCGUGAGUGAAGAAGGCCU
rnacentral:rRNA from 1 species